GGCGGAAUGAUGGAAUGGGGAGACAUGGGAAACUCUAAAUUUCCUGCUCUUGGCAUGUGAGUUCAACUCUCACUUCCGCCACCA
rnacentral:tRNA from 1 species